CUCGCAGGAGAGUUUUCAAGCUGUAUUUCACAUACAUUUGCUAUUCUCCCAAACUAUUUGUCUUCUAUCACAUUAAAUCUUUUGAUUUUUGAUCACUGAGAUGAAAGAAUGAAUGUAUUAGCAACAGUUACUUUUAUUUCAGUUGCAUUUUUCUGCUGUUCCCACCCACCACCCCCAAACUCAAAAUAGCUAUCACUAGCAGAAGCAAGUGAAAUAUUUUUCUUCAGUAUUUUAUAGCACAAAAAUGUUUCCUGGCAACACAACAACAAGAGAACCCCCAGGCAGGAUUAAUGCCUCAGUCUGCUGAGUACUUUACAAACAUAAGAAGAGACACUUCCUUGCACCGAAGAGUUUCCAAUCCAAAAAAAAAAAAAAUGAGGGAAUGGAUGAAGGAUAGGAAAGCAAGGUGCUCUGCUUUUAACAGCAGGGAGAUUUGUGGAAGAAAAAUCAAAGUUUUACUGAGAUUUUUGUAAUUAUAAAAUCUUCCAUAAUUAAUAAUACAUAUCUAGGUGGCAAAAAAAAUUAUUUAGAUUGUAAUGAUAUUAACAUGGAAUCUUACAGUUGUGAAACCUAAUAUUUAAGACUGAGUUUUCAAGGGGAAAAUAAAAAUUGGUAAUAAGAAUUGUCAUUAUUACUUCCUUAAAUAAUUUUGUGUACGUGGUCAGACUUACAUUUUUCCUAUUAUUUUGAUAUCUGCUCUUAGAUCUGUAAGAUACAAACUACAGAGAAAGGAUCAAGCCUUAUUUGGGUAGAGAUGCCAAAAAGAACAAAUGUCAAAGAAAAAAGAGAAAGAACAAAGGAGGCAAAUGGAAAGGAAACAACAUAUGAGGAAGAAACUUCAGCAAGAAAAGAAGGGAAGUCAGAGCAGGAAGGUGCAUACUAUACUGAAAACCUGCUUUGAAACCUCAAGAUAAAUUCUCAAUUCUACUGAUUAAAUGAAGUUUUUGUGUGCCCCAAAUUUUCAGUAAAAGUGACUAAUAAAAUUAACUUCAAAGAA